rnacentral:rRNA from 1 species
GUAGGUGGCAAGCGUUGUCCGGAAUUAUUGGGCGUAAAGCGCGCGCAGGUGGUUCUUUAAGUCUGAUGUGAAAGCCCCCGGGCUCAACCGGGGAGGGUCAUUGGAAACUGGGGAACUUGAGUGCAGGAGAGGAAAGUGGAAUUCCACGUGUAGCGGUGAAAUGCGUAGAUAUGUGGAGGAACACCAGUGGCGAAGGCGACUUUCUGGCCUGUAACUGACACUGAGGCGCGAAAGCGUGGGGAGCAAACAGGACUAGAUACCCUGGUAGUCCACGCCGUAAACGAUGAGUGCUAAGUGUUGGGGGGUUUCCGCCCCUCAGUGCUGCAGCUAACGCAUUAAGCACUCCGCCUGGGGAGUACGGUCGCAAAGACUG